UACGAAGGGGGCUAGCGUUGCUCGGAUUGACUGGGCGUAAAGGGCGCGUAGGCGGUUCGUACAGUCAGACGUGAAAUUCCUGGGCUCAACCUGGGGGCUGCGUUUGAUACGUGCGGACUUGAGUGCGGAAGAGGGUCGUGGAAUUCCCAGUGUAGAGGUGAAAUUCGUAGAUAUUGGGAAGAACACCGGUGGCGAAGGCGGCGACCUGGUCCGAUACUGACGCUGAGGCGCGAAAGCGUGGGGAGCAAACAGGG
rnacentral:rRNA from 1 species